GCCUUUGUGGUGUAGUGAUAGCAUGCGUCUCGUGUAUGGACGGAACGCGGGUUCAACCCCCGUUCAAGGCCGCA